rnacentral:rRNA from 1 species
AACGAACGCUGGCGGCAGGCUUAACACAUGCAAGUCGAGCGCCCCGCAAGGGGCCCGGCUGACGGGUGGGUACCGAGUGGGAACGUACCUUUUGGUUCGUAACAACUCCGGGAAACUGGAGCUACUACCGGAUAAGCCAUAACGGAGAAAGCUUUAUCGCCGAAAGAUCGGCCCGCGUCUGAUUAGCUAGUUGGUGAGGUAACGGCUAACCAAGGCGACAGUCAGUAGCUAGUCUGAGAGGAAGAUCAGCCACACUGUGACUGAGACACAGCCCAGACUCCUACGGGAGGCAGCAGUGGGGAAUAUUGGACAAUGGGCGCAAGCCUGAUCGAGCCAUGCCGGGUGAGUGAUGAAGGCCUUAGGGUUGUAAAGCUCUUUUGUCCGGGAAGAUAAUGACUGUACCGGAAGAAUAAGCCCCGGCUAACUUCGUG